rnacentral:snoRNA from 1 species
CCUCUGGAUGACGAAGACAUGGUGUCCUACAUCCUUGCGUGACUUGACUUCUACUACAUAUCGUUUGUCUCUUCCAUCUGCACUGCAAGGAUCGCACCGAACUGAUCAACGUAGCCGAAUUGUACUCUCGGCUCCUUAGUUUCGAGA